rnacentral:rRNA from 1 species
CCAGACUCCUACGGGAGGCAGCAGUGGGGAAUAUUGCACAAUGGGGGAAACCCUGAUGCAGCGACGCCGCGUGGGCGACGAAGCGCUCCGGCGCGUAAAGCCCUGUCAGCAGGGAAGAACAAAGACAGUACCUGACCAAGAAGCCCCGGCUAACUACGUGCCAGCAGCCGCGGUAAUACGUAGGGGGCAAGCGUUAUCCGGAUUUAUUGGGUUUAAAGGGUGCGUAGGCGGAAUGCCAAGUCAGCGGUAAAAUGGCGGGGCUCAACCUCGCUCCGCCGUUGAAACUGGCGUUCUUGAGUGGGCGAGAAGUAUGCGGAAUGCGUGGUGUAGCGGUGAAAUGCAUAGAUAUCACGCAGAACUCCGAUUGCGAAGGCAGCAUACCGGCGCCCAACUGACGCUGAAGCACGAAAGCGUGGGUAUCGAACAGGAUUAGAUACCCCCGUAAAG